CCUCACUUUAGUCACCCACCCCACCUCUGCCGCAGACACACACCUGUGCACAUGUACAUGUGUGGGCAUGUGGACACACACAGCACACUCCUUUUCCAUUUCACUACUCUUAGACUGAUCAGGCCCACCCACCUGGGGUCUUUCUUGCGAAUAUAUUUUCUGAGCCUCCAGUCCAGACCUGCCACAACACCGGCAUCUGUAUCAUCUCCAAGUGAGGUCGCCAGAUAAAAUUCAAGAUACCCAGUGGAAUUUGAAUUUCAGGUAAACAACAGCUCACAAGGAACUGAACUGCAGUUGACAUUCAAGGUGAUGGCUGCCUCUUCCUUCACCCUGGAGGCUUGGGAUGAUGCGUUGGUUGCUAGUGUUGUCACUGGCAGCAGGAGUGAGCAGUGAAGUGUGGAAUGGCUGGACCUCAGGCACUGUCAAAAAGAAGGGAAAGUAUGGAUUGUUUGCUGACAGCUGCAGCCUUGACUGUAGAAGCAGAAGAGGUCCCAAGGGUCAAUUGCAUCCCUACCUGGCUGGACUACAUCCCAGUUGGCUUGAGAAUAUCCAGCUGCCAGGGAGGUACCUGGAGGUGGAGUUAGAGCUGGCAUGGAGAAUGGGGGUCCAGGGCAGAAAACCAACCUCCAACCUUUGUCAUCUUCCCCUAGGAAGUCCCCUUUCUCUCUGGUUCUGGAUUGAAAGCUUCUUUCCUGGGUGACUUUGGGACCUUGACAUCCUCCAGGGGACAGGGCAGUGGACUGGAGCUUUGUGACUAUCCAGAUGUCAGACUCAGCCUCCCCAGGCAGGACCUCUGACAGUUGCAAGGCACUCUGUUCCCGACAAAGCACUUCUGCAUACAUAGCUUCUUCAGGCUUCCUGAUGGCUCUGAACCACGCUUACCACUUUACUGGAUUCAUUGUGAUAAACGGCCAGAUCAUACCAUCGAAACAUUCUUUGCUCCUCCAAGCUUCUUUUGAGCACAUGUAACUCGAUGGAUCGUAGAGCCUCGCCCUGCAAGGUGCUUCUGAAAGCACAAUGGAGAGGGGCAUCGCUUGUCAGCGGCAAGGGCUGUCUUUGCCUGGUGCUCAUUGACUGGCUGCCUCUUUCGCUCUGUGCUAAGCAGUAAGCAGACACAGUCUCUCCCCAGGUGUCCUACAAACUGUGCUUGCACUGGCUGCCUCCCAGUCUGCUCAUAAAGCGGAAUGAUGCAGCCUGUGAGCUGAGCUGCCAUACGGGUGGUGCUGGGCUGCUGCAUUUGUGAGAUUCUGAAUGACCCAGGAGACCCAACUCCUGGGAACAAGAGGAGACUACACACAAACAGGAACAAUCCUUAUCAGUGUGUGUAAUCAGUGACUGUUAGGCCUACUAAAAUGCACAGUGUGGAAUAUCAUGCCAUUUGAUCAGGCUUUAAAAAUGUCCAGAGAAAUGCAUCUGAAUAAAGAGUGCAUGUCCUUGUGUGUGUGCU
ensembl:lncRNA